AUGGCGCAACUCCUCCCACUCAUUCAUAAUCCGACCUCCGCGUUUGCACUCGCUGCCUACAAGAGCGCCCAAAUUUGAACAUCACUGAUGUUCAUCGGAUUUACAGAGUGACGACAACCCCCGUCAGCAUGUUAGAUAAAGGAUUUAAGUUAUAUGCUGCAUCAUAUAUACACAACUACGAAGUGUCCAAAAAACACAGGUUGACAGGGGAAGUCGGUGUGAGAGCCCUGUGCUACAGGUCAAUGAGGAAGAGUGAGGCACCACACAGACUAAGUAUUAAGCUUCUGGAUUCAUCGCCGGUGGUACUGACACAUAGCCAGUGCUCCUGUGUGGCAGGUGCUGUUAUGUGCAAUCACACAGUGGCACUGCUCUUCCAAACAGCACACUACUCACAACUCAGAGUGCCGGUUGUCCCCCUGUGCAUAGCUGCACCGAAUCUGAACAGCAAUGGCACAAGCCACGGACAGUGGGUGUGAAGCCAGGACCUAUCAACUCUAUGAUCUUCACUAAGCCGGUACCAAAUAGGAUGGCCCAGACUGGAGUACGGAGUGGAUUCUACAGAGGCAUUGUGGGUCCAUUACCAGAUCCCUGACCUGACAAGCCCCUUGUGGAAAGUGCCUUUGGGCUGGUGCAGGAGGGCAGUGUUCUGUCAUGUCAGCAGCCGGUUUUGACAACCCGGUACAUCACACUACACCGUGAUGCACCACCAACACCGCACUUGCCUCUGGAGUAUGGGUAUGACAUGAAGGAAACCCUGCUCGCUCAGACAGCCUGUGAUAUUUUCUCAAACCGCUGCGCUGAACCAGUUUCCAAAGAACAUGCUGUGUGACACAAUAAAUAUCCUUUAACCUGUUAACCUGUGGCUUCUGGAAGAAACUCGGGUGAGUCAGUCACUGCAAACACAUUUGUAUCAUCAAGUGUUUGUCAAAUGAAAAUGAUAUGUUUUCUACACUUAGGAUAAUUUUCUAUGUUGCAGUGCAGUAAAGUGCACGUUUCUUCUGUGUUCAAUCAUACAUGUUCUAAUUGUUAUAAACAGAAAAAAUCUUUUCUUACUUAACUGCUUGAUUCUUAACUUGUUUAACUGAAACAUGAUGAAAUGUCAUAGUAUUAUUUUUUUUUUUAAAUGUCCUUGGCAGUGCAUGUGUCUGCAUUGUAACUUACUAAUAAAAAGUCCUGUGUGUACUUUGGUGUGUGGUUUAUGUUAUUUUAUUGCAAAUAAAUAAUAGUCAUUUUAUUUUACAGUUACACACAAUCUUAUAUCUCUGGCAUGGCAAGGCAAUAUCGGGUACAUGCAAUUCGAAACCUGACAUUCCAGAGCAAAGCAUGAAGCACACAGCACAUGGUCAACGUGACUCAUAUGGAGACUGACAACAUUACAAGGAAUAAAGGAAAAUUGAGGACUUAGCCACAGAAAAGACUUUUUUCCUUUUUUUGUUACAAUAAUUCGAAAAGGUCAACUAUGAUUUUUAAAUUAAUAUCAUAGGUGUGAGUUUAGAGUUCAGAUUUUUUCUGCACAUUCUUUCUUUUUGUAUUUAAUUAUGAUGGUAAAUACAUUUCGCAACAUAUCUGCCUGCACUUGCUCUUAAAGUAGGAACAGUUCACCUUUCCAGCUGUAUUUUUAAUACUGAUGAGUUUACUUUAAUUGUUAGCCUAUUGGUCAAAAUGUAUUGUUCUUCUGAUUCAUGUGUAAUGCUUUACUCAAAUAAUACAUCCACAUUUCAGCACGUAAGCAGCUGUUUGUCUCAGUAUUACCUGAUAACAUACUGAGGCCUGCUGAUCACGAAGUAUGUGGGAAAUAAAAGCAUGUUAGGAAGAGACUAGGGCCAUUUUCAGUUCGCGCCUGCUUUCUCUCCAA